UGAAACAAAGACAGGUUCUAACUCCGAUUCUCCACCGGGCGCGUCUGUGCUGCGUUCCGGUUUUGUUCCGUCCUCCACCACGAGCCAUACCAAACCUGGAGCAGCGGAGCCUC